AACGAACGCUGGCGGCAUGCCUAACACAUGCAAGUCGAACGAGACCUUCGGGUCUAGUGGCGCACGGGUGCGUAACGCGUGGGAACCUGCCCUUAGGUUCGGAAUACCUCUCCGAAAGGGGUGCUAAUACCGGAUAAUGUCUUCGGACCAAAGAUUUAUCGCCUUUGGAUGGGCCCGCGUUGGAUUAGCUAGUUGGUAGGGUAAAAGCCUACCAAGGCGACGAUCCAUAGCUGGUCUGAGAGGAUGAUCAGCCACACUGGGACUGAGACACGGCCCAGACUCCUACGGGAGGCAGCAGUGGGGAAUAUUGGACAAUGGGCGAAAGCCUGAUCCAGCAAUGCCGCGUGAGUGAUGAAGGCCUUAGGGUUGUAAAGCUCUUUUACCCGGGAUGAUAAUGACAGUACCGGGAGAAUAAGCUCCGGCUAACUCCGUG
rnacentral:rRNA from 1 species